CUCCUACGGAGGCAGCAGUGGGGAAUAUUGCGCAAUAGGCGAAAGCCUGACGCAGCGACGCCGCGUGAGGGAUGAAGGCCUUCCGGGUUGUAAACCUACUUUCAGUCAGGGACGAAGCGAAAGUGACGGUACCUGCAGAAGAAGCACCGGCUUAACUACGUGCCAGCCGCCGCGGUAAUUC
rnacentral:rRNA from 1 species